CCGGUUGUAGCUCUUACGUGAAAAUCUAAUUAAACUCUUUGUUCCCAUACGUGGAUUGUGUUUUGUAUUUGAAAGUCUUGGGGGAUGAGAAAAGCAUUAGCUGUUAUAUUUUUUCAGUUUUUUUUCUUUUUCCUCCAUUUUUCCCCCCCUUUUUUUGAGGGGACCGUUUUUGUUGAAGUUAACAUGUUCAUUACAUAGCCAAAUUUGUGUAUAUCUGUAUCUUAAAAUGAAUGGAAUGUUGGUGACUAAUGCAAAUACUGUUUUUUGGAGGGUAAGCCUUUUGAUGAAUCAAGA
rnacentral:misc_RNA from 1 species